rnacentral:rRNA from 1 species
AGUCGAGCGGUGCAGCGAGAACGCUUGCUUUCUUGCUGACGAGCGGCGGACGGGUGAGUAAUGUAUGGGAAUCUGCCUGAUGGAGGGGGAUAACUACUGGAAACGGUGGCUAAUACCGCAUAAUGUCUACAGACCAAAGNGGGGGCUCUUCGGACCUUGCGCUAUCGGAUGAGCCCAUAUGGGAUUAGCUAGUAGGUGGGGUAAAGGCUCACCUAGGCGACGAUCUCUAGCUGGUCUGAGAGGAUGAUCAGCCACACUGGGACUGAGACACGGCCCAGACUCCUACGGGAGGCAGCAGUGGGGAAUAUUGCACAAUGGGC